GCCGCGAGUGGGGCGCGGGCGGCGUCCUUCCACCUGCUGCGGGAGCCGCGUCGGGGGGGACCUGUCUAGGGGCGCCGGCCUUGUGGCCGUGAAGGCCAAGAAAAGGAGGCAAGUCUUGGGAGUCGAUCCGAGGCCAGAGCCACGGGAACAUCUUCAGGCCUCACCGUUGUGCCCUGUCUGAGAACUACGGAAGUGCCCCGCCUGACCUCGCACUGUUCCUUCCGCCACAAACGCCCUCUUGCUUUCCAUCCCAGUUGACCUCAGUUCUUCGUUCGAAGGCCAACUCGGUGCCACCUUCUCCUCUAAACCUCCACCAGCCUGGGAGCAUCUGACCUGUAGUCGUCCUGCAUGGAGACUGCCCUGCUUUGGGCCCUCUCCCAUCAGACUAGGAGUUUGUGACAACAGCCAGGAAGUGGAGGCAGGAUUGCGCAGAAACGACUUGCGAGGACUUUGGAGGUCGAGGCCAAGCUUCAUUCACGCUGGGCGUCACGACCACCAUGCUGCGUGACCUCAGGGAAGGGAAUGGACCUCUCUGUGAUCAGUUUCCUCGUCCGCAGAAGGGAGGAAGAUGGAAAUGCCUCCGUUAGAGUGGUCGGACAAAUUGAACUGCUCCUUUGGGAACAGGCACUUCCAGGUUUGGGGCAGCUCAAGAUGGCCUUGGCAGGACUGGAUCCAGCAGAUGGAAGCCCCAGGAAGUGUUCCGUAGCACGAAGAAAGUGGCUCGGGUAGGGGUGAGGUCCCCGUACCAGGAGGGUGCCGGCAGGAAGGAGGGCCCUCUGCCAGUGACCCUGCACAGCAGCGACUACAGCUCCCACCUUGUCGGUGAGGACACAGACUGAGAGGUGAAAUAACCCACCCGACGUCUCUAAUAAGCUAGCAAGUGGCGAUUCGUGGCCAGCGGCUGGACGGGGCCUCUCCUCCCCCUCCUUACCGAUGCGGUUCACUGAGCUGCGGGAAGGACCGGAACACGUGACUGCCAGCGCGUGGCCACCUCAGGCCACUUCCCGCCGUUCGAGCCCCACAGCAGUCCCAUGAGGGGGAGCAGAUGGCUGAUGCUGAAGAGCGAGGCAAUGAGGAGAGACCCCCUUUCUGAGCUGCGCAGGCCAAAGCCAAGGCCGUCCCAUCCUGGACACUAUCAUUCUCUACUUCAGCCCACCGGGCCCUGGCAUCUCACCCCGGGCUGUUCUCGUAUUUAUUUCAGCCAGUGUGAUAUAAAGGGAAGAAACUUC